AAUUAUACCGUGAAACUGCGAAUGGCUCAUUAAAUCAGUUAUCGUUUAUUUGAUAGUACCUUACUACUUGGAUAACCGUGGUAAUUCUAGAGCUAAUACAUGCUGAAAACCCCGACUUCGGAAGGGGUGUAUUUAUUAGAUAAAAAACCAACGCCCUUCGGGGCUUCUUGGUGAUUCAUAAUAACUUUACGGAUCGCAUGGCCUUGCGCCGGCGACGGUUCAUUCAAAUUUCUGCCCUAUCAACUUUCGAUGGUAAGGUAUUGGCUUACCAUGGUUUCAACGGGUAACGGGGAAUUAGGGUUCGAUUCCGGAGAGGGAGCCUGAGAAACGGCUACCACAUCCAAGGAAGGCAGCAGGCGCGCAAAUUACCCAAUCCCGACACGGGGAGGUAGUGACAAUAAAUACUGAUACAGGGCUCUUUUGGGUCUUGUAAUUGGAAUGAGUACAAUUUAAACCUCUUAACGAGGAACAAUUGGAGGGCAAGUCUGGUGCCAGCAGCCGCGGUAAUUCCAGCUCCAAUAGCGUAUAUUAAAGUUGUUGCAGUUAAAAAGCUCGUAGUUGAAACUUGGGUCUGGCUGGCAGGUCCGCCUCACCGCGUGUACUUGUCCGGCCGGGCCUUCCUUCUGGAGAACCUCAUGCCCUUCACUGGGCGUGUUGGGGACCAGGACUUUUACUUUGAAAAAAUUAGAGUGUUCAAAGCAGGCCUUUGCUCGAAUACGUUAGCAUGGAAUAAUAGAAUAGGACGUGCGUUCCUAUUUUGUUGGUUUCUAGGAACGCCGUAAUGAUUAAUAGGGACAGUCGGGGGCAUCAGUAUUCAAUUGUCAGAGGUGAAAUUCUUGGAUUUAUUGAAGACUAACUACUGCGAAAGCAUUUGCCAAGGAUGUUUUCAUUAAUCAGUGAACGAAAGUUAGGGGAUCGAAGACGAUCAGAUACCGUCGUAGUCUUAACCGUAAACUAUGCCGACUAGGGAUCGGGCGAUGUUCUUUUUCUGACUCGCUCGGCACCUUACGAGAAAUCAAAGUUU
rnacentral:rRNA from 1 species